rfam:Thermus scotoductus SA-01, complete genome.
AGGCACCUCGGAGGCGAGGAAGCCUGCCCUGCAAUCUGGGCGCCUGGGGCAGGUGGAGCCAGUGGCGCAACCGGCCGAGGGCGGU